rnacentral:rRNA from 1 species
UACCAGCACCCCGAGUGGUCGGGACGUUUAUUGGGCGUAAAGAGCUCGUAGGCGGCCUGUCGCGUCGACCGUGAAAACCCGCAGCUCAACUGCGGGCUUGCGGUCGAUACGGGCAGGCUGGAGUUCGGUAGGGGAGACUGGAAUUCCUGGUGUAGCGGUGAAAUGCGCAGAUAUCAGGAGGAACACCGGUGGCGAAGGCGGGUCUCUGGGCCGAUACUGACGCUGAGGAGCGAAAGCGUGGGGAGCGAACAGG